rnacentral:rRNA from 1 species
GACGUAGGGCGCAAGCGUUGUCCGGAAUUAUUGGGCGUAAAUAGCUCGUAGGCGGCUUGUUGCGUCGACUGUGAAAAACCACGACUCAACCGUGGGACUGCAGUCGAUACGGGCAGGCUAGAGUUCGGUAGGGGAGACUGGAAUUCCUGGUGUAGCGGUGAAAUGCGCAGAUAUCAGGAGGAACACCGGUGGCGAAGGCGGGUCUCUGGGCCGAUACUGACGCUGAGGAGCGAAAGCGUGGGGAGCGAACAGG